CACACACUCAAGACACCAAUUGUCAAGAAUUUCCCUGCAAACUGUCAUAUGUUAGUGAAUGUGUUUGGAGGAAGCAGCCGCGGCGGAGGGCGAGCAGCGCGGAGGGAGAGAAGCCACUUUUCAGCUGCUGAGCAAAUUGUCUUCUGGGCAUGAGGGGGGCAUGAAGAAGGAAUCUGAGCAGGCUCAGUUAAGAGACACAAUGUCACCACAACAAUGUAUGAGGGCCACGGCUAAAGAAAGGAGAGGACUUUGGAAUAAAGACUGAAUCGAGCAGUUUCCCGGGGUGGCCAGGCUGUUAAAGCCGGGCUGUGUGACAUUACAGCCGGGCCAGUGAGGCCGGGCAGGCUGCCGGGGGACACACCGUGACUCCGGUAAUACAGAGAGAAAUAUCACCCCCGACUGGAGCUUUGAUCAACUGAGUGUACCGGGGAGGAGGAGGAAGUGGAGGGUGGGGUACCGGUCCGCUGCUCUGCUCUGCUGUUUGCAGUCUCUCUCUGCAGGAUUUUUUUUCUCCUUUUACAAAGGAAUAUUGCAAACAGGCGCUGAUAUUCAUAAUUCAUACUAAGACGCAUUGAUCAUUCUGGCUUGUGAAUGCGUUUAUUUUCGGAAUAAACAGUCCAAUUUCUGUGAAAGU